UACGAAGGGGGCUAGCGUUGCUCGGAAUCACUGGGCGUAAAGGGCGCGUAGGCGGCCAUUCAAGUCAGGGGUGAAAGCCCGGGGCUCAACUCCGGAAUUGCCUUUAAGACUGCAUCGCUAGAAUUGUGGAGAGGUAAGUGGAAUUCCGAGUGUAGAGGUGAAAUUCGUAGAUAUUCGGAAGAACACCAGUGGCGAAGGCGACUUACUGGACACAUAUUGACGCUGAGGUGCGAAAGCGUGGGGAGCAAACAGG
rnacentral:rRNA from 1 species